AUGGGAUUUGGACUCAAUGGAAUUUUGAUUCUGACUGUUUUGCAAGGUGUCCAUUGUGAUAUUCAGCUGGUGGAGUCUGGGGAAGACAUGAGACAGCCUGGAGGAUCCUUGAAACUCUCCUGCAAAGCUUCUGGAUUCACCUUUAGUCACUAUUUGAUGAACUGGGUUCACCAGGCUCCAGAAAAGUGGAUGGAGUGGGUCUCAGCAAUUGGUACAAGUGAUACAUACUAUGCAGACUCUGUGAAAGGCCAAUUCACCAUCUCCAGGGACAAUGGCAACAACCUGCUGCACCUGCAGAUGAAUUCCCUGAAAGCUGAGGACACAGCCAUGUAUUACUGUGCAAGAGACACAGUGAGGGAGAGGAGUGAGAGCAGACAUAAACCUCCUACUUCAGAGAGUUCUUAUGGAGAAUGA